UCGAGAGCCCGGGAUGCCGAGUGGAACAAAGUCAAGAGAGGCUAGGCUCCGGGGCCGCGGGGCCGCCGCCGAGGACCGGGCGCCCGCUGGGACCAGGGAGCCGACGCGCCUCUCGGGGCCCGGACGCCCUCCUGGCGGAGGACAGCUUCGAGGAUCGCCGAGUGACCUUGGGGACUGACGCGGGUUUCUUGGGCCAGAAGAAGGAGAGGCAGUCGCGUGCCAAAAUCUUGAAGCAAACAGGAGGCUGCGGGUCCUCCCGGGAGGCAGGAAGGGCGGCGGGUGAGUGCCCUUGCGCUUUGCCGCCUGAGCCCAGAACAUGAAAGCAACCAAGAGCCUCCAAGGAGUUCUCCAGGCACUGGACAAAAUUCCACCUCUGCAGUGAGCUCUCAAAAAAUGUUUAUAUGGCAGUGCUAAGAGCCUAAACAGCACUAUUCAAAUGGAAAUAUUUGGGAAAUUUAAAAUGUCCAUGGGGCAUAUCUCCUGUACUGGGUCUGGGCACUUGGAGAAGGAGAGAUCUAAGAGUGGCUACAGGGAUAGAGGACAGAGAUGGCAUUUUCAAAGGGGACAGAGAGGGUGAUGGCAGCUCUGCCACAGGAUGACUCACACAAGUGGCAGUGGGUGGGUGAGGGUCUCUCACUGCCUGGUGGAUGCCCCUGUGGAUCAGACUUGCUCUGCUACAAAUAUUGACAUGUGUGAGAUAUCCAUGCGGGACAGCCUAAUUGGAACCAGCUUGAAGUGUGCUGCCCCUUGAAUGCUUUGGAAAUUUCUGAUCCUCCAUGGACAUGAAACCAGGAGAAUGCAUGGAGGACCUGGAAAUGAAAGGACGUGUAGAGCCCUUUUCUUGAACUAAAAAAAAAAAAAAAAAAAUGCCCAUUCAGUUGUGAUUUACCUGUAUUUGUCUGAUUUCUUAUUAAAAAAGAUCAGUCCUCUCCAAUCUUAAACACACAUACACACAAACCAUAAUUCAAGCGCUAGAAACAGGGCAGUUAGAAGGUUUGCUCUAAAGAACUCUGAAACCUGCUGGUAGAGGGUUUCCACCUUCUCAAACAGACAGUGAAGCAGGCAUCCUGCCCCCAUUUUCUGUUAUCCGUUUCUUGCAAGCUUAAAAUUAUCAUUCAUUAUUUAUGGUAAUGAUUUUACAUGCUGAACCCAGCAUACUACUCGGAAAUAUUGCUGUUUUGGAAUAAAGGCG
ensembl:lncRNA